rnacentral:snRNA from 1 species
AGACAUGACGGCGAUCUGGCUAUGACAUCUGUCACCAUGCAGACUGCCAGGUUGCUGGCUAGGUAGGCAUUCCUUUCUCACCACUCCACGUAUGAUCUUCGCUCUGAACUGCAUGUCAAAGAGGACAACCUUCCCCAAAAAGAGGAGGAUGGGUCUUCAGUCAAGGGUAUAAAAGUAGCUGCAUUCCCCUUCUAGAUCCUUCAAAAAAGUUCUCAAGAUAGCUGGGCAUGGUGGCACACGCCUUUAAUCCCAGCUCUGGGGAGACAG